AGGGGCAAGCAAGCACGGUGUCACCUCAAGAUCAUCAGAUGCUCUUAGAUUCAGCCAAACAUUGGUUCCGCUCAUAAGAGAUACUUGGCGUUCAGAGGUGUCACCACCAAAGAUGACGUACACUUUCUUAUGUUGUUUAAUAAAAUCCUCUGUCACUGGCGAAGAUUUUGAUCUCUUUCUCGAUGGACAUGAUAUGAUAUUAUGUGAUAAAAGAUCUGGAAACCGCAAGCAAGCAUGUUGGAUGAUGGUCCGGAGAAUAUUUGAGUGUGAAAAUCCAACCUUUGAUGCUUGCUGAAAUAAGAAACUUGUUUGCUCCAUUCCACUGAUCAAGUUAAUAUCAGUGAAUAUUACUGUGCCAGAAUCAGUCCUUCCAAAUUUGUUUCCUGCAGAAGUGGAAGCUUUUGUAGAAGGCGGCAAA
rnacentral:misc_RNA from 1 species